rnacentral:other from 1 species
AUUAUUCUGAAAUAUUCGUUAAGCUUCUAUUUUGAACCUACAUAUAAGUUUCGGGAGUUCAAAAUUUAGAUGAAUAAAUGUACUUUCAUGUGAGUCCUUUUAUGGCUUUAAGAGCGAUUGAAACAUCUGUGAGAACACCCACCUAUCGAGGGAUAGGUGUCAAAAUUGGGGUACCGGUAUUUUGGAUAUGGU